CACGAUACUCGUUUGUAUUGUUUGGGUGAAUCGCACAACUCCAAAACUUGCCCACACUGCAAAGCUUUCACUAAAGCCGCCCUUAAGGCUCGCCAGCAGCGCCUUAAACUUCACCUGUGGGAGUCAACAUUAUCUUCCACAGCGCCCUCGGAGGGGGAGAUGGCCUCCACUUCCAGAGCAGCCCCCGUACAAUCUGUGGUUUCCAAAGUUUCAAAAAUGUCGAAGAAGUCCGCGGCGUCGAAGUCGACCACUCUUGUUUCGAAUCCCGAGCCGCCGGCUCCUGCUCCACCGAAAACUAAGCCGUCCAAGACAUCGAGAACCAAGGUGUCUGCCAAGCCUAAGGCGACGUCCCUUCGACUCUCUCCAAGCUCCGGGUCGAUACCUUCUCCGAUCCUCGAAGGGUUGUCGAGGCGCUUCGAAGCUUCGGCCGACGCACCCGUUCCACCUCCUGUUCGACGCACUGAAGUCGUACUGUCGGCGGGAAUGUCUUCCCCGACGCCGAGCCAGCUAGUUGGAGCCACUACUGGCCUGGCUUCUGCCCCACAUAGCCCAUCUCCUGCGGGCCAGGGGUCGUCUCCUUUGUCGAUCUCGUCGGUGCACUCGGACUCUGAGACAAGGGUCCUCGUUCACCCGUGUGAUCAAGGUCGAAAUCCCCUCGAGACAAGCGCCCUCACACGGAGAAGCAUCGCUCCUCGAGUCGGUCCCCUUCUACCGACCGCUCGAGAUCGAAGUCUCCUCGACGAAAACGGUCGAAGAGGAAGCAUCGGGCUUCAACCCAGUCCGACUCUUCCCACUGUUCGGACUCGAAAUCUUCGAAGCGUAAACGCUCUAGAAAGAAACGCAGAUCCCAUCGACGUCGUAGUAAACAUCGACAUCGAUCCUCUUCUUCCUAUUCAGCGGACUCGGACUGACCCAAGCGUCGUAAACACCAUCGACGUCGACAUGGUCGCUCGAGGUCCUUUUCCUCGUCUUCGACGUCCGUGUCUCGAGGUCGAUAUCAUAAAAAGAUCUGGUACAUUUACCUGUCCUCUUCGUCGGAGUCCACCCGUCCUCGACGUCGGCGUCGGGUUAUCCGCGUCGCAGAUAAACCACCUUCACUACCGGUUGCCCCUGCACCGCAACCAGUGCCUUCGACGUCGGCAUCGACUGCGGUCCCGUCACAACUUCCGAUGUUUUUCAACAUCUUCCAUGUCCAGCUGAAGGAUCU
rnacentral:lncRNA from 1 species